rnacentral:rRNA from 1 species
GACAGAGGGUGCAAACGUUGUUCGGAAUUACUGGGCGUAAAGGGUUCGUAGGUGGCCAACUAAGUCAGACGUGAAAUCCCUCAGCUUAACUGGGGAACUGCGUCUGAUACUGGAUGGCUUGAGUGCAGGAGAGGAAUGCGGAAUCCAGGUGUAGCGGUGAAAUGCGUAGAUAUCUGGAGGAACACCGGUGGCGAAGGCGGCAUCCUGGACCGGUAUUGACGCUGAGGCGCGAAAGCCAGGGGAGCAAAGCGGGAUUAAGAA